GCCAGCAUAGCAUAGUUGUUUGAGCAUUGGACUAUGACUCUGGAGACCAGGGUUUGAUUCCCUCUUGGCC